AAUAGAUACCCUGGUAGUCCACGCCGUAAACGAUGAGUGCUAGGUGUUAGGGGGGUUUCCGCCCCUUAGUGCUGCAGCUAACGCAUUAAGCACUCCGCCUGGGGAGUACGGUCGCAAGACUGAAACUCAAAGGAAUUGACGGGGGCCCGCACAAGCGGUGGAGCAUGUGGUUUAAUUCGAAGCAACGCGAAGAACCUUACCAGGUCUUGACAUCCCGCUGACCGCCAUGGAGACAUGGCCUUCCCUUCGGGGACAGCGGUGACAGGUGGUGCAUGGUUGUCGUCAGCUCGUGUCGUGAGAUGUUGGGUUAAGUCCCGCAACGAGCGCAACCCUUGUCCUUAGUUGCCAUCAUUCAGUUGGGCACUCUAAGGAGACUGCCGUACAAAUACGGAGGAAGGUGGGGAUGACGUCAAAUCAUCAUGCCCCUUAUGACCUGGGCUACACACGUGCUACAAUGGGUGGUACAAAGGGCAGCGAACCCGCGAGGGUAAGCGAAUCUCAUAAAGCCAUUCUCAGUUCGGA
rnacentral:rRNA from 1 species